AAACAUUUGGGAUAUGUAUCUUAGUCCUUUAAGGAGGCCUUUCAUCUGGCCUUUCACAGCAGUUGGGUUCAUUUUUACGGUUCCACCUCCUUGAUUCAUUUUGAAGUACUAUAAAACCUUGCACUUAAAGUUGUUGACACUUUCAAUCUUCAAUGGAAUCAAAAAAUUAAAAUUAAAAUAAAUCAUAUAAUAAAUCUAUUCAUUUGAUCAUUUCAUCUCAUAAUAAAGUCAUUCAUCAAAAUAAUUACAACAACUACUUGCUAUUCACCUAAUCAAAUAUAUUUUUAGCCAAAGUUUUAAGAAAAGUAUACAUGACAAAAUUUUACAUAUCUACUUUUGCUAUUAUGCUAUAUGUUAUUUUCACAUUCGUGCAAUUUUGCAGGAGAUCUUUUCUAAUUUUUUUUAGAUAAGUUAAUUGAAUAUCGUACAUCAAAAGAUAUUUAGACAUACCAACUAAGUUGACACAGAUCUUUUCUAAAUUCAAAUGAAACACAACAAAAACUUUCACAUAUAUGCUUAAUCAUGUUCAAUAUGCACAAUUUCAAAACAAAACGAUUAUAUUAAUACAAGAUGGUUAAAAUCAAAGUACCUUUUUCCGAAAACCAAAUGAUCAAAACAAACAAAAAAAAAAAAACGAACGUGACUAAAUAUGUAUUAUACCUCAAAAAGAAAUGUUGGAAUGAACCCUAUACUAAUUAAUUUUUUUGGUUGUCCUUGUUUCAAAGAGCUGAAAAUGAGAAAUUAAGCAUCAAGAAAAAAAUGAUGAAUUAAGAAAAAAUGUUGAUAACAACAACAUGGGAGGAAAAAAGGUUAAGCACACAGUUCUUGGCUGGCUGGGGAAGGUUUGGAUAGAGAAUGAAUAAUUAUCUAACCAAACCAAAGAAACCAACCAAAAAGAGGGAGAGUUUGAGGAAAAUCUCAAAAAGCAAAAUUGAAAGCUUACUGGAUUUUGAUCUACAGCCCCCAAUCGGUGGCCAAGCAAAUCAAAACCAGUAACUACUAAACAGGUUUUUUUGAU
rnacentral:lncRNA from 1 species